rnacentral:rRNA from 1 species
UACGUAGGGGGCAAGCGUUGUCCGGAUUUCUUGGGGGUAAAGAGCGUGUAGGCGGCCAGGUAGGUCAGCUGUGAAAACUCGAGGCUCAACCUCGAGACGCCGGUUGAAACCAUCUGGCUAGAGUCCGGAAGAGGAGAGUGGAAUUCCUGGUGUAGCGGUGAAAUGCGCAGAUAUCAGGAAGAACACCCGUGGCUAAGGCGGCUCUCUAGUACGGUACUGACGCUGAGACGCGAAAGCGUGGGGAGCGAACAGG